AGUGAACGCUGGCGGUAGGCCUAACACAUGCAAGUCGAACGCAGCACAGUAAGAGCUUGCUCUUACGGGUGGCGAGUGGCGGACGGGUGAGGAAUACAUCGGAAUCUACUUUUUCGUGGGGGAUAACGUAGGGAAACUUACGCUAAUACCGCAUACGACCUACGGGUGAAAGCAGGGGAUCUUCGGACCUUGCGCGAUUGAAUGAGCCGAUGUCGGAUUAGCUAGUUGGCGGGGUAAAGGCCCACCAAGGCGACGAUCCGUAGCUGGUCUGAGAGGAUGAUCAGCCACACUGGAACUGAGACACGGUCCAGACUCCUACGGGAGGCAGCAGUGGGGAAUAUUGGACAAUGGGCGCAAGCCUGAUCCAGCCAUACCGCGUGGGUGAAGAAGGCCUUCGGGUUGUAAAGCCCUUUUGUUGGGAAAGAAAAGCAGCAGGUUAAUACCCCGCUGUUCUGACGGUACCCAAAGAAUAAGCACCGGCUAACUUCGUG
rnacentral:rRNA from 1 species